CCUCACCGCUGGCUGGGGAAAGCAGUGGAAGUUGAUUGCUUUGUUUUCAAUGGCUGAGUAUUAUCUUUUGUGUAAAUGUGCCAUGGUUUCUUUAUCCAUUCUUCAGUUGUGGGACAUCUAGGUGGUUUUCAGACUCUGGCUACUACAAAUAAAACUGCUAUGAAUGCAGCUGAUUAGGUGUCCUUCUUGUAGAGGCUCUUUUGGGUAUAUAUCCAGUAGUGGUAUACCUAGGCCUUCCUAAUUUUCUGAGAGAGCCCCAGAUUGUUUUCCAAAGUGCUUGUAAAAGUUUACACUCACACCAGCAAGGAAAGCAUGCUCCCCUUUGUCCUUAUCCUCACCAGGAUGUACUAUAACUUGAGAUUUUAUCUUAGCCGUUCAGACUGGUAUGAGAUGGAAUCUCAGAGUCCUUUUGAUUUGCAUUUCUCUGAUGAUGAAGGAAGAUGAGCAUUUCUUUAAGUGUUUCUAAGCCAUUCAAGAUUUCAAUGUUAAAAAUUCUUUGUAUACUUCUGUGCCAAUUAUUUAAUUGGGUCAUUUUUAUUGGAGUUUGAUUUCCUCGGUCCAUUGUAUAGUUUGGAUAUUAGCACUUUGUUGAAAAUAGGAUUGAUGUGUUCUUUUCCUAAUGUGUAGACUGACAUUUAGUUUCAUUGAUAUUGUUUCCUCCUUAUAGAAGUUUUCAGUUUCAUGAGGUCUCAUUUAUUAACUUUUGAUCCUAGAGCCUGAUCUGUUGGUGUUCUGUUCAGGAAGUUGUCUCCUGUACCAAUGAGUUCAAGGCUCUUUCUAGCUUUCUCUUCAACAGAUUUAGUGUGUCUGCAGUUAUAUUGAGGUCUCUGCUCCACUUGGAUUUGCUAUUUAUUUCAGGGAGAAAAAUAUGUAUCUAUUUGCAUUUUUCUACAUGCAGAGAUACAGUUAGACCAGCAUGGUUUAUUGAAGAGGCUGUCUUUUUCCAUUGUACGGUUCCGGCUUCCUUGUCAAAAAUCAAUUGACCAAAGAUGUUCAUUAUUGAGAGGUUGUAGUGGUGGAUUUUUCUUUCGGAGAAAUCAAAUGUUCAAACUACUCUCACAACAGCAAUCCAAAACAAACAAGCUGUUUUUGGAUGAACUACAAUUUUGUCUCAGACUCUGGUCCUCUCCAAAGUCACUGUGGACCAUGAUGAAAUCAUACAGAUUGUUGAAGAAAGAACCAAACAUGUUUUUCACCCACAUGGAGGAACCAGGUGUAGAGCCCCAGGGCUAUGGGAUUCCAAGAGUACAUGGAUGAGAGGAAAACAGAACAAUAAAAAGACAGCAAAUUCAGAGCAAGUCUGGCUACAGCAACAGAAAUAUCUCAGUACUGUGACCCUCAGAUGUCUGGACUUUGCUGCAGUGUGUGUGCUGGCCUGUCAUGAGAACCAUUGUGUAUGCACAGACUGAGAGCCUGAAGCAACAGUAGGAAGCAGCUGUAGCAUUCAAAGUCUUCUCUGAUAUUGUUGAGGUCUGAGCCUGUUCCAAGGCCUAAGCCAAUAAUCUCCUUGGAUCUGCCUUGACGCAGGGGUCUGUCUCUGUGUAGUGAAGAACCUGACAUGUCCCUUCCUUUGCUUUGCCUCAGCCUCCUCCUACAACCUGUGUAUGCAUCGAUGGAGUUUCCUCUGUUCACUUGUGGUUAUAAAGGAGAGACCAACACCUACAUGGAGGCAGAUGU